CCGCGCGUGGCGGAACAGGCGUACGCACUGCGCUCAGAACGCAGCGGGUGAAAGCCCUGGGGGUUCGAAUCCCUCCGCGCGGA
rnacentral:tRNA from 1 species